rnacentral:rRNA from 1 species
AAGCGUCCGCAGGCGGCCUUGAAAGUCUGUUGUUAAAGCGUGGAGCUCAACUCCAUUUCAGCAAUGGAAACUACAAGGCUAGAGUGUGGUAGGGGCAGAGGGAAUUCCCGGUGUAGCGGUGAAAUGCGUAGAUAUCGGGAAGAACACCAGUGGCGAAGGCGCUCUGCUGGGCCAUAACUGACGCUCAUGGACGAAAGCCAGGGGGAGCGAAAGGGAUUAGAUACCCGGGU